rnacentral:rRNA from 1 species
ACGGGUGAGUAAUGCAUAGGAAUCUGCCUUAUAGUGGGGGAUAACCCGGGGAAACUCGGGCUAAUACCGCAUAAUCUCUACGGAGCAAAGUGGGGGACCUUCGGGCCCUACGCUAAAAGAUGAGCCUAUGUUGGAUUAGCUAGUUGGUAGGGUAAAGGCCUACCAAGGCGACGAUCCAUAGCUGGUCUGAGAGGAUGAUCAGCCACACUGGGACUGAGACACGGCCCAGACUCCUACGGGAGGCAGCAGUGGGGAAUAUUGGACAAUGGGCGAAAGCCUGAUCCAGCAACGCCGUGUGUGUGAAGAAGGCCUUCGGGUUGUAAAGCACUUUUAGUGGGGAAGAAAAGCUCAUGGCUAAUAUCCAUGAGUGCUGACGUUACCCACAGAAAAAGCACUGGCUAACUCUGUGCCAGCAGCCGCGGUAAUACAGAGAGUGCAAGCGUUAAUCGGAAUUACUGGGCGUAAAGCGCACGUAGGUGGAUGCUUAAGUCGGAUGUGAAAUCCCCGAGCUUAACUUGGGAAUUGCAUUCGAUACUGGGCGUCUAGAAUAUGGUAGAGGGAAGUGGAAUUUCUGGUGUA